rnacentral:snoRNA from 1 species
GCAACUGAGUGUUCCCUGCAGUUUUGCCGCUGUCAGGGCAGCUUGGCGGUGUUUGGUCGCGAUCUCUCCGUGGUCCUGUCCUCCGCAAUGUUGCAAAAUAAGAGACAAGUGUUUCUCUCUGAGACACGUGUCUCCAUUGCAUAUUCCUUGUGUCUCGUGGAGACUCUAGCAGUCUUUUACCACGAGGAUAAACCAUGCAAAUGACAACU